rnacentral:rRNA from 1 species
CUUCUUUAACACUGAGAGAUGAUGACGAGGCUCUACGGAGCUGAAGUAACCGAUACCACACUUCCAGGAAAAGCCACUAAGCUUCAGGUUUAUCUAAACCGUACUGAAAACCGACACAGGUGGUCAGGUAGAGAAUACUCAGGCGCUUGAGAGAACUCGGGUGAAGGAACUAGGCAAAAUAGCACCGUAACUUCGGGAGAAGGUGCGCCGGCGUAGAUUGUAGUCCCUUGCGGAUGAAGGUUGAACCGGUCGAAGAUACCAGCUGGCUGCAACUGUUUAUUAAAAACACAGCACUCUGCAAACACGAAAGUGGACGUAUAGGGUGUGAUGCCUGCCCGGUGCUGGAAGGUUAAUUGAUGGUGUAAUCGAAAGAGAAGCUCCUGAUCGAAGCCCCAGUAAACGGCGGCCGUAACUAUAACGGUCCUAAGGUAGCGAAAUUCCUUGUCGGGUAAGUUCCGACCUGCACGAAUGGCAUAAUGAUGGCCAGGCUGUCUCCACCCGAGACUCAGUGAAAUUGAAAUCGCCGUGAAGAUGCGGUGUACCCGCGGCUAGACGGAAAGACCCCGUGAACCUUUACUAUAGCUUGACACUGAACAUUGAAUUUUGAUGUGUAGGAUAGGUGGGAGACUUUGAAGCAGUCACGCCAGUGAUUGUGGAGUCGUCCUUGAAAUACCACCCUUUAACGUUUGAUGUUCUAACGAAGAUUGCGGAACGCGGUCUCGGACAGUGUCUGGUGGGUAGUUUGACUGGGGCGGUCUCCUCCCAAAGAGUAACGGAGGAGCACGAAGGUUUGCUAAUGACGGUCGGACAUCGUCAGGUUAGUGCAAUGGUAUAAGCAAGCUUAACUGCGAGACGGACAAGUCGAGCAGGUACGAAAGUAGGUCAUAGUGAUCCGGUGGUUCUGAAUGGAAGGGCCAUCGCUCAACGGAUAAAAGGUACUCCGGGGAUAACAGGCUGAUACCGCCCAAGAGUUCAUAUCGACGGCGGUGUUUGGCACCUCGAUGUCGGCUCAUCACAUCCUGGGGCUGAAGUAGGUCCCAAGGGUAUGGCUGUUCGCCAUUUAAAGUGGUACGCGAGCUGGGUUUAGAACGUCGUGAGACAGUUCGGUCCCUAUCUGCCGUGGGCGUUGGAGAAUUGAUUGGGGCUGCUCCUAGUACGAGAGGACCGGAGUGGACGCACCACUGGUGUUCCGGUUGUGUCGCCAGACGCAUUGCCGGGUAGCUAAGUGCGGAAGAGAUAAGUGCUGAAAGCAUCUAAGCACGAAACUUGCCAAGAGAUGAGUUCUCCC